rnacentral:rRNA from 1 species
CAGCACGCCGCGUGAGGGAUGACGGCCUUCGGGUUGUAAACCUCUUUUAGUAGGGAAGAAGCGAAAGUGACGGUACCUGCAGAAAAAGCACCGGCUAACUACGUGCCAGCAGCCGCGGUAAUACGUAGGGUGCAAGCGUUGUCCGGAAUUAUUGGGCGUAAAGAGCUCGUAGGCGGUUUGUCGCGUCUGCUGUGAAAUCCCGAGGCUCAACCUCGGGUCUGCAGUGGGUACGGGCAGACUAGAGUGCGGUAGGGGAGAUUGGAAUUCCUGGUGUAGCGGUGGAAUGCGCAGAUAUCAGGAGGAACACCGAUGGCGAAGGCAGAUCUCUGGGCCGUAACUGACGCUGAGGAGCGAAAGCAUGGGGAGCGAACAGGAUUAGAUACCCUGGU